rnacentral:rRNA from 1 species
UACUUUAGGAGGAAGCUCCGGCUAACUACGUGCCAGCAGCCGCGGUAAUACGUAGGGAGCGAGCGUUGUCCGGAAUUACUGGGUGUAAAGGGAGCGUAGGCGGGACUGCAAGUCAGAUGUGAAAUGCCGGGGCUUAACCCCGGAGCUGCAUUUGAAACUGUGGUUCUUGAGUGAAGUAGAGGCAAGCGGAAUUCCUGGUGUAGCGGUGAAAUGCGUAGAUAUCAGGAGGAACACCGGUGGCGAAGGCGGCUUGCUGGGCUUUUACUGACGCUGAGGCUCGAAAGCGUGGGCAGCAAACAGGAUUAGAUACCCUGGUAGUCCACGCUGUAAACGAUGAUUACUAGGUGUGGGGGGACUGACCCCUUCCGUGCCGCAGUUAACACAAUAAGUAAUCCACCUGGGGAGUACGGCCGCAAGGUUGAAACUCAAAGGAAUUGACGGGGGCCCGCACAAGCAGUGGAGUAUGUGGUUUAAUUCGAAGCAACGCGAAGAACCUUACCAGGUCUUGACAUCGUAUGCAUAGCAUAGAGAUAUGUGAAAUCUCUUCGGAGACAUAUAGACAGGUGGUGCAUGGUUGUCGUCAGCUCGUGUCGUGAGAUGUUGGGUUAAGUCCCGCAACGAGCGCAACCCUUACCUUUAGUUGCUACGCAAGAGCACUCUAAAGGGACUGCCGUUGACAAAACGGAGGAAGGUGGGGAUGACGUCAAAUCAUCAUGCCCCUUAUGACCUGG